UACGAAGGGGGCUAGCGUUGUUCGGAAUUACUGGGCGUAAAGCGCACGUAGGCGGACUAUUAAGUCAGCGGUGAAAUCCCGGGGCUCAACCCCGGAACUGCCUUUGAUACUGGUAGUCUCGAGUCCGGAAGAGGUGAGUGGAAUUCCGAGUGUAGAGGUGAAAUUCGUAGAUAUUCGGAGGAACACCAGUGGCGAAGGCGGCUCACUGGUCCGGUACUGACGCUGAGGUGCGAAAGCGUGGGGAGCAAACAGG
rnacentral:rRNA from 1 species